rnacentral:rRNA from 1 species
GGGUUGUGAGGUUAAGCGACUAAGCGUACACGGUGGAUGCCCUGGCAGUCAGAGGCGAUGAAGGACGUGCUAAUCUGCGAUAAGCGCCGGUAAGGUGAUAUGAACCGUUAUAACCGGCGAUUUCCGAAUGGGGAAACCCAGUGUGACUCGUCACACUAUCAUUAACUGAAUCCAUAGGUUAAUGAGGCGAACCGGGGGAACUGAAACAUCUAAGUACCCCGAGGAAAAGAAAUCAACCGAGAUUCCCCCAGUAGCGGCGAGCGAACGGGGAGGAGCCCAGAGCCUGAAUCAGCAUGUGUGUUAGUGGAAGCGUCUGGAAAGGCGCGCGAUACAGGGUGACAGCCCCGUACACAAAAGCGCAUGUGCUGUGAGCUCGAUGAGUAGGGCGGGACACGUGGUAUCCUGUCUGAAUAUGGGGGGACCAUCCUCCAAGGCUAAAUACUCCUGACUGACCGAUAGUGAACCAGUACCGUGAGGGAAAGGCGAAAAGAACCCCGGCGAGGGGAGUGAAAAAGAACCUGAAACCGUGUACGUACAAGCAGUGGGAGCACAGGUUUAC